rnacentral:tRNA from 1 species
GACACAGUAGUCUAAGGCAUUGCAUUUCAGUGCAAGACGUUUCACUACAGUCCCUGGUUCGAAUCCAGGCUGUAUCA